GUAGGCGUCGAUGAAGGAACGCCGCUUGCGCUCGCCAGGCGGCGGCUGGCGCAGCUUGGCAAUCUGGUGGUUCAGCAACCGCCCACCCGCU
rnacentral:tRNA from 1 species